rnacentral:lncRNA from 1 species
AGAGAGAGGGAUAGUAAUAGAGAGAGGGAUAGUAAUGUAGAGAGAGGAUAGUAAUAGAGAGAGAGAGAGGUGGGAUAGUAAUAAAGAGAUAGGGAUAGUAGUAGAGAGAGAGGGAUAGUAAUAGAGAUAGGGAUAGUAAUAGAGAGAGAGGAUAGUAAUAGAGAGAGAGGAUAGUAAUAGAGAGAGAGGAUAGUAAUAGAGAGAGAGGGAUAGUAAUAGAGAGAGAGGGAUAGUAAUAGAGAGAGAGGAUAGUAAUAGAGAGAGAGGAUAGUAAUAGAGAGAGAGGAUAGUAUUAGAGAGAGAGGAGGGAUAGUAAUAGAGAGAGAGGUGGGAUAGUAAUAAAGAGAUAGGGAUAGUAAUAGAGAGAGGGAUAGUAAUGUAGAGAGAGGAUAGUAAUGGAGAGAGGGGGAUAGUAAUAGAGAAAGAUGGAUAGUAAUAGAGAGAGAGGAUAGUAAUAGAGAGAGAGGGAUAGUAAUAGAGAGAGAGGGGAUAGUAAUAGAGAGAGGGGAUAGUAAUAGAGAGAGGGAUAGUAAUAAAGAGAUAGGGAUAGUAAUAG